AGUGAACGCUGGCGGUAGGCCUAACACAUGCAAGUCGAACGGCAGCACAGUAAGAGCUUGCUCUUACGGGUGGCGAGUGGCGGACGGGUGAGGAAUACAUCGGAAUCUACUUUUUCGUGGGGGAUAACGUAGGGAAACUUACGCUAAUACCGCAUACGACCUACGGGUGAAAGCAGGGGAUCUUCGGACCUUGCGCGAUUGAAUGAGCCGAUGUCGGAUUAGCUAGUUGGCGGGGUAAAGGCCCACCAAGGCGACGAUCCGUAGCUGGUCUGAGAGGAUGAUCAGCCACACUGGAACUGAGACACGGUCCAGACUCCUACGGGAGGCAGCAGUGGGGAAUAUUGGACAAUGGGCGCAAGCCAGAUCCAGCCAUACCGCGUGGGUGAAGAAGGCCUUCGGGUUGUAAAGCCCUUUUGUUGGGAAAGAAAAGCAGCAGGUUAAUACCCCGCUGUUCUGACGGUACCCAAAGAAUAAGCACCGGCUAACUUCGUGC
rnacentral:rRNA from 1 species